CCGCGGGGCCGCGGAUACCAGGUACGUGAGAGUGACCGCUCCCGUUACAUAUCCUAUGACGAACCUGUGAGCGUAAGGAAACAAAUGUAUUACUGACUUUUUCAAACCAGCUCUCAAACAAGACAGAACUGUGUUGUGUUCUCCAGAAAAAGGAAAUGGA